CGUUGCUUCGUGCUCUUGGCCUGUGCUUCUUCGGUGCAACUUCGUCAUGUAUUCAAGCCUCUCAUCUGUUUCCAUGGUUUCUGUCAUUUAGUUCAUCUGCUUCAUCUGUGUUUUAACCCAGAUCGCCAAAAAUAACCUAACUUGGGUUACUGUGCCAGUAUGCCUUAUUUCAGAAAAUAAAACUUUGUUUUACAUUA